rnacentral:rRNA from 1 species
AGAGUUUGAUCCUGGCUCAGGACGAACGCUGGCGGCGUGCUUAACACAUGCAAGUCGAACGGUGAAGUCCCUUCGGGGAUGGAUCAGUGGCGAACGGGUGAGUAACACGUGGGCAAUCUGCCCCUCACUGUGGGAUAACUCCGGGAAACCGGGGCUAAUACCGCAUAUGAAGCCUGGCGGCAUCGCCGGGUUUGGAAAGUUUUUCGGUGAGGGAUGAGCCCGCGGCCUAUCAGCUUGUUGGUGAGGUAAUGGCUCACCAAGGCGACGACGGGUAGCCGGCCUGAGAGGGCGACCGGCCACACUGGGACUGAGACACGGCCCAGACUCCUACGGGAGGCAGCAGUGGGGAAUAUUGGGCAAUGGGCGAAAGCCUGACCCAGCGACGCCGCGUGCGGGAUGAAGGCCUUCGGGUUGUAAACCGCUUUCAGCAGGG